rnacentral:rRNA from 1 species
UUGGUUAAGUUAGAAAGGGCGCACGGUGGAUGCCUUGGCACUAGGAGCCGAAGAAGGACGGGACUAACACCGAUAUGCUUUGGGGAGCUGUACGUAAGCGUUGAUCCAGAGAUUUCCGAAUGGGGGAACCCACUAUCUUUAGUCGGAUAGUAUCCUUACGUGAAUACAUAGCGUGAGGAAGGCAGACCCAGGGAACUGAAACAUCUAAGUACCUGGAGGAAGAGAAAGAAAAAUCGAUUUCCUGAGUAGCGGCGAGCGAAACGGAAAGAGCCCAAACCAAGAAGCUUGCUUCUUGGGGUUGUAGGACACUCUAUACGGAGUUACAAAAGAAAGUUAUAAAUGAAGCGGUCUGGAAAGGCCCGCCAAAGACGGUAACAGCCCGGUAGUUGAAAUGGCUUUCCCUCCAGAGUGGAUCCUGAGUACGGCGGAACACGUGAAAUUCCGUCGGAAUCCGGGAGGACCAUCUCCCAAGGCUAAAUACUCCCUAGUGACCGAUAGUGAACCAGUACCGUGAGGGAAAGGUGAAAAGCACCCCGGAAGGGGAGUGAAACAGUUCCUGAAACCGUGUGCCUACAAGUAGUUAGAGCCCGUUAAUGGGUGAUAGCGUGCCUUUUGUAGAAUGAACCGGCGAGUUACGAUUUGUUGCAAGGUUAAGCGGAAAAAGCGGAGCCGUAGCGAAAGCGAGUCUGAAUAGGGCGCAUAAGUAACAGGUCGUAGACCCGAAACCAGGUGAUCUACCCAUGUCCAGGAUGAAGGUAAGGUAAUACUUACUGGAGGUCCGAACCCACGCACGUUGAAAAGUGCGGGGAUGAGGUGUGGGUAGCGGAGAAAUUCCAAUCGAACUUGGAGAUAGCUGGUUCUCUCCGAAAUAGCUUUAGGGCUAGCCUCGAGGUAAAGAGUCAUGGAGGUAGAGCACUGUUUGGACUAGGGGCCCUUCUCGGGUUACCGAAUUCAGAUAAACUCCGAAUGCCAUGUACUUAUACUCGGGAGUCAGACUGCGAGUGAUAAGAUCCGUAGUCGAAAGGGAAACAGCCCAGACCACCAGUUAAGGUCCCCAAAUAUAUGUUAAGUGGAAAAGGAUGUGGGGUUGCUUAGACAACCAGGAUGUUGGCUUAGAAGCAGCCACCAUUGAAAGAGUGCGUAAUAGCUCACUGGUCGAGUGACCCCGCGCCGAAAAUGUACCGGGGCUAAACAUAUUACCGAAACUGUGGAUGAACCUCUUUAGAGGUUCGUGGUAGGAGAGCGUUCUAAGGGCGGUGAAG